AAGAAAGGAUAAAAUGGUCAUAUCAACAAAGUCUUAGCAACGAACACCCGCGUUUCUCUAAUCUCUCCCGAUUGAACAGAGAACUUUGAUUUUUCCCGAAUGUUACUUCCUCCCAUUUCUCUUUUUCAUCAUAAAACCCUCUCUUUCUCUCUUUAAUUCUUCUUCAUUUCUCAACCCAUCUCUCAUUUGUGCUCUCUUCACUAACUCGGUGGCCUGACUCGCCGGGUCACGGAUCGCAAUGACUCGGCGUUGCUCUCACUGCAGCAACAAUGGCCAUAACUCCCGAACCUGCCCCUCCCGCGGCGGCGGCGGCGGCGGCUCAGGUGUCAAGCUCUUUGGGGUUAGGCUCACCGACGGCUCUUUCAUCAAGAAAAGCGCCAGCAUGGGUAACCUCUCUGUACAUUACCAUAGUUCUUCUUCCGCCGCCGCCUCUCCGAAUCCCGACUCUCCUAACUCCGAUCCCGUUCAUGAUUCCGAUGGCUUUUUAUCCGAUGAUCCUGCCCAUGCAUCCUGCUCCGCUAAUCGCCGGGCUGAAAGGAAGAAAGGUGUUCCAUGGACAGAGGAGGAGCAUCGAUUGUUCUUAGUUGGUCUUCAGAAACUGGGGAAAGGAGACUGGCGUGGGAUUUCUCGGAAUUUUGUUAUUACAAGAACUCCAACCCAGGUGGCAAGCCAUGCUCAGAAGUAUUUCAUACGACAGAGUAAUGCAACAAGAAGAAAGCGGAGAUCGAGCCUUUUUGACAUGGUUCCUGAAAUGGCAACUGAUCCGCUCCCUGUGCCAGAAGAUGAGAUUUUACAUGCUUCUCAGACAAAAGAAACAGAAAACUCAAGUUCACAACCUUCACUAAAUCUCUCACUUAACUCUGAGUUCCAUAUGAUGGAAACUACAGUAGAAGAAAAUGGAAAAGAACUCGAUGCACCUAAGAUGGAAGUUGCUGGUUUUCCCCCUGUGAUACCAGGAUUCAUCCCGGCUUAUAUGCCUCUACCUUUCCCUAUUUGGGCACCAAGUUCAUUCCCAAUGGAAGAAGAAAAUGUUGUAGAAACUUGUCAUCAUAAGGUCCUAAAGCCAAUUCCAGUUGUGCCAAAGGAGCCAGUCAAUGUUGAUGAACUAGUUGGCAUGUCUCAACUCACUCUGCGAGAGCAUGAAAGAGAGCGCAGAGAGCCUUCACCUUUGUCCUUGAAAUUGAUAGGUGAGCGCUCAAGACAGUCAGCAUUCCACCCAAAUGCUCCAGUCAGUCGUUCAGAGUUAAUCAAGGACGAUACUGAUACAAUCUAAGCUCAUUGAAUCAAGAAGGGACCAGUUUUCAUGCAUCAUGAGCUUUUCUUGUUGAAACACAAACGAAGCUGACUCAGUUGAACUAGCUACAAUCUUCACCCAGGCAACGACAGGAGGGGAAAGAUUGCAGUUCCUGCAGCCUUGCUGAAGCUAUCCUUCAAUAACCAGAAAAGGGGUUUUACCAAAAAACUAGAAGCCACGCCACAUAUAGCUAGAUUUUGAUUCAGAGAAAAAUGCAUGAUUUUGCGGACGAUAUGUUGUAAUGACAUAGGAUGUUUGGAUGGCUUUAGUCUUGAAUUGAUUCUGAUUAUGUUCCAACCUUUGGUUAUGCAACGUCGUGGAGAUUGCCAUGUUUGUUCUCCCUUCUACCACGUGUAGAUGCAGCAAAAACUCCUUCAUAAUUAUAUCCCUUUUACUUACCCUAACUUAUCUUUAUAAGUCGUGUCGUUUCAGUUUUAUGAUGGGUGAUUUCGUUCCUUUCCAAAGUCAAGUGUUUAUCACCAAAACUCCAGUGAAUCCUUAACAGACGACGACGUCUACACCAAAAGGCCGACGACCCUUGUAGCAAUGACGGGGGAUCGAUGAGUGCAUUGGACAAUGGACGUGGUAAUCUUGAGUUUUUGUGGGGUUCUGGAUUAGAUGAGGAUCGUAGAACUGCAAUUGAAGAUGGCAUCACCAUAUGGUUAUAUUUCCAGUUGGAUGGAAAGAUGAUGGGUUGGUGGAGGAAGAUUCUCAGCUGGUUCAUUAUUUUGGCUGGCUUGAUGGGGACGGAGGUUUUAGGUGAUCAUUAGUUAAAACCAUGGAUUAUAUCGAAGCCGAGGUUACGUUUAUGUCAAGGACUAAAGUAGAUGAGUGUUUGAUUCUGGCCAGUGAUUGAGUAUGGGGUGUCUAGUCUAAUGAUGACAAAGAUGGUGUGCAGCAUACUAAGGAGGCGAUGCAGGAAGUUGGUUUUUGGUGGAACUCACGAUGCCAUUUCUCCAGCACAACAUGCUGCAAAUCAAAUCCGCAAGGUAGCCAGUCAUUUCAGUGGUGACAACAUCUCCAGUUAUUGUGAUUGACCUAAAGCACCAAAUGAAGGAGCGCCAAAUAAAGGAUGGCUGGGCAGACCCCAGAAGCAUGGUUACUACGAGGACUCGGAUGGGAUUAUUUGGAUAACACUUAGGCGAAUGGAGCAAAAGCUACACAUAGUGGAGAAUGCUGCUUUCAAUAAUUUCAUAUUUCCAAGGAACGGAUUCUUAUGAGGAUGAACAGAAUUGAUGCUGCAAAAGAAGGAAUAUCUGCGUAAAGCUCACUGAGAAAGCAACCUUAAAGGUGAGAGAAUGAAAGAGUUAAAAGAAAUGACAAGGACCAUUGCCUGCGAUUGAUUGUACUCAGCUUCUUAUGUCAAUCAUUGGUGGGAUUUCUUCUGCCUUUAGGGAUCAUUUCUCCAUUUUGCUCAACUUAUUGAUUCUCGCCUUCAUGCUGAUGCUUGCUCCUCGACCCAUAUUAUUUAUUCUCCACUCACCAUCUCUUAACUUUUCCAUAAAUCCUUUUCAUUCUACUAAUUCUCUCUUUUUUUAUUUUUUUCCCCAAUCAAUCUUAAAUUAAAAGAUCAAAUAAAGUGAUAAAAGUAUUAUCCACGAAGCUUGUUUGGGAUGGACGGGUUCUAUUUCUCUGCUUCGUUAGGUUGUUAUUGUGGGAAUGAAAUUAAUUGAAUGAGCUGUAUAUUGAAAAAAAAACUUGGGUGCAUUUUUUGUUGCACUCAUCUCUUGUGCAGCCUAAGCUCGGUUGUUACGUCAUUUUUUUUCUAAUAUAUAUUUCUUUUACUACGGAAAGCAACAUUGCCAAAUUUUUUCCCUUUUUCAGGGAUUGAACUAUUGGCUUUUUGAUUGUGACUGCAAAGAGCAUAUCUUGACACUUAACAUUGUAUGUAUCAUGAAUAGCAUAUAGAGGGAUGGAGAGAGAGAUAGAGAGAGAAGAGCUAUUUUGAGUACGGACUAUAUAUAUGGAGGCUUAUAAGAGAUACAGUGAAUUGGUAAUUAAUAAGAUAAAUAUGCUAAUUAACAUUUGCAGGACAUAGGUACUAAAGGCUAAAGACUAAAGACUUGGCAGGGUUCUGAGUUUACUCCCUACGGAUUAUUAAUUUGAAGCAUCUUAAACUUUAUAUGAUUCUGUCUAGACUGGUUUAGCCUAAUUUUAGAUGGAUAAAGGUAUUGUCAGCUCCCCAUAUUAAUAUGAAAACCACCCAACCAGACCAUUUAAGUCCACGCAAAUAGUCCAUUAAAGUCGAGUUGACGUAAAUAAGUUUAAUUUCAUUAUUUUAAAAAGUUGCAUUAAGUAGAUUUCUUCUGGGUCUGUUUUCUUCUUUUUUCUUUUUUUUUUUCCCAGGUAUAUAAGGCAGGGAUUUAUCACUCUCAAUCAACAUGUGCCAUAGUUGAUGGAAUUAUCAAGGGAUUUCUUGAUGAACAGUUUGUGCAGUUAGAGGAACUGCAAGAUGAUGCUAACCCAAACUUUGUGGAGGAAAUUGUUACAUUGUACUACAGAGACUCAUCCAGACUGAUUCUUAGCAUAGAGCAAGCACU